UAAAUUAUACCACAUUGAAAACAUCAGUUCUCAUCUAAUCACCAAAGUUAAGCAAUGUCGGUCAGUACUUGGGAGGGUGACCACCUGACAACACUGGGUGCUGUAGCCU